ensembl:lncRNA SNHG14 small nucleolar RNA host gene 14
GAGGCCAGAUGCCCAAGUUCACAUAAUGGCUCUACCUCUUAAUUAACUAUGUGACCCUGAAUGAAUUACUUGAUCUUUCUGGACGUAAGUUUCCUCGUAAUUUAAAUGGUAGUAUCUACGAGCAUUAUCAUGGUGAGAGUAUUAUUCUUCUUCACAUUACCAAUUGUGAGAAAAUUAAAUGUGUUAAUAUAUAUAAAGUGCUUAGAACAUUGCCUGGCACAUACUAAGCACUAUGAAAGUGUUAGCUACUACUAUUAUUGUUGUAAUUGUUACUAUCACCCUCACAAGUGUAUGAGUUAGCACUAUAAACCUUCAUUCUGCUGAUGCUCAGAGAAAUUACAUAAGUCAUACAUCUAAUAAGAGAUUUGAACUCAGCUACUAAACUUGAGCUUUUAAUAACUAUUAAGAGGAGGAUCUGAAAGUAGCCCUCUAUAUUUGAUCUGCCUUUCUGUGCCAAGUUUAACAAAUAGCAGCUACACUGAUGAGACAGGACUAAAGGAAGCCAUGCCAGAACCUCCAAGUUAAUGGUGGAAUCAACUAUAUUAAGCAUUCUUCUUUUUUCCUCACUCCAAUGACACCUUAAUUUAUCUGACCUCAUCUGCAUCACUAUCUAAUUUAGGAUAUGUAAAAGGCAUACAAAAUUUAGAGCACAUAAAAGGGCCUCUACGUUGGAAAAGUAUACACUAAUAACGACUUUUUGGUAUAGUUCCUGCGCAAGGGAAAUCCUUGUACCAUAUGGGUCACCAAAUCAUAGCUCGUAAGUCAAAUCGAGUCCACCACCUGUUUAUGUCUCUCAAGCUUAGAAUAUUUUACAUUUUUAAAUGGCUGGAAAAAGUUUGAAAAAUAAUAAUAGUUUGUAACGUGAAAAUUAUAAGAAAUUCAAGUUCCAGUAUCCAUCAAGUGUACUGGAACAUACCCAAGUUCAUUGAUUUAUAAAUAUACUAUAUAUGAUAAUGCUUUGGCUCUGUGUCCCCACCCAAAUCUCAUCUUGAAUUGUACUCCCAUAAUUCUCAUGUGUUGUAGGAGUGACCCCCUGGGAGAUAAUCUGAAUCAUGGGGGCAGUUUCCCACAUGCUGUUCUUGUGGUAGUAAGUCUCACGAGAUCUGAUGGUUUUAUCAGGGGUUUCCGCUUUUGCAUCCUUCUCAUUUUCUCUUGUCACUGCCAUGCAAGAAGUGUCUUUCACCUUUCGCCAUGAUUCUGAAGCCUUCCCAGCCAUGUGGAAGUGUAAGUCCAAUUAAACUUCUUUUUUUUUUCCCAGUCUCAGGUACGUCUUUAUCAGCAGCGUGAAAAAGGACUAAUACAAUAUACUAUAUAGUUUAUGGCUGUUUUUCAUACUACAAUGGCAGAGUUGAGUACUUUAGGCCUGCAAAACCUAAAACAAAUACCACCUGCCCUUUACAGAAAAUGUUUGCCAACCCUUAGUUUAGGAUCUAUUAUUUAUCUCUGCCCUCCAGUGACCCUGCCAUCUAAUCAUUUGGCCUCUUAACUCUCUCUUUACCCUGAGCAAAUCCGUAAAAUAAAAGGUAUACCUUUCCCCAAGUACUAUUAAAGAAAAGAAGAGGAGAGGGGAAAAGGGAAAAAGGGGAAAAGAAAGUGAGGAAAGGGAGAGGAUGCAAAAGAAAAAGAAGGAAAGAAAGGAAUUUCCCUGAUGAGAUCCCUUAGUAAUACCUUAUCAGCUGUUCAUAAUCAAAAUUCCUAGAAGAGGAACAACAGCUUACUUGCUAUAAUUUCUUCACAUUCCAUUGACUUUUCUUAUUACUCAAAAAACAAAGUAUGUUAUAAUGUGUUGAUUUUUAAAAUAAAACAAACUUUUCUUAUUUAGUCAGCAAUGAAGGUCAAGUGAGACCUUCUAGUAAAAGUCCUCUAAAGUCAGACACAUGAAAAUACUUAUCCAUUUAAAACAGACAAUACUUUCCAAUUAUUUAUUUCUAUGAUUGAAUUAAUGGGACAGUGCUACAAACAGAAGUCCUAUGGAAUAAGUCAUACUUGGAAGAUCAGAGUUUACUCUAGACAACUUGACAGCAAUCAGUUUAAAAAUGGUUUCACCUAGAGGGAUGUGUACUAAUGUUAGCAAUUAACUUUGAAAGGCAUAAAAAUUAAGAUGGAUUGAUGGAUACAAGGAUGGUUAUACGAUAAAGCAAUGUAAGUAUUAAUGGCAGAAUCUAGGUGGCAGGCAUAUGUGUGUCAGCUGUAAAAUUUGUGUUCAAUGUUUUUUUAGUUCCCACAUAUCAGUGAGAACAUGUGAUAUCUGUCUUUCCGUGUCUGGCUUAGUUCACUAAAAAAAUGAAUUUACAAGACAACUGGAAUAUAAGCAAUGAAUACAAGCACUAAGAAGAUGAAGCCAUAGAAACAGCUGCCAGAAAGUGAAGAUGUGACAGUGAACGCCAAACAAAGAAAAAAGUGCAUGUGAAAUACUACUACUUAUCCAUCUCCUGGCUCUGAGCAGUACAUGUCAGGAACAAGAGGGAAUUGUAGCUGGAAGACAGUAGAAGAGCCAUAGGACAAGUCUCUAAGAGAAGGAAGAAAAGGCGCAAUGAAAGAAAACAAGUUUAAGAUAGUAGAAAAGCAUUCAAAGACGGCAACCUGAGGUGGUGGAGUCUAUGGCCCUUCUCCUUGAAUCUGAGUGAAAUUAGUGAGUCUUUCAAUCCAAAGACUACAGUCAUACCUCAACUAUCUACAGAGGACUGGUUCCAGGACUCCCAUGGAUCCCAAAAUCCAAGGAUGCUUCGAAUCCCUUAUAUAAAAUGGCAUGGUAUUUGCAUAUAACCUACAUGCAUCUUCAAAUAUGUUAAACCAUCUCUAGAUUACUUAUAAUACCAAAUACAAUGUAAUGCUAUGUAAACAGUUGUUACAAUGUAUUGUCAAAGACAAGCUCUCCUUGCCAAUCCCUGACCAAAUGAGAGAUUCAUGAGCAAAAUAAAUAGUUGCUGAUAUUUAAGGCACUAAGUUUGGGGCAAUGUAUUACACAGCAAUAAAUAACUGGAACAGCAUAGUAAAUUCUAGUUAAAAAUACUAAACUACUAAGUUUUAGUUAACAUACAUGCUCAAGUUAAGGGUGUGGUAUACUAACAACUGCAACUUACUUUGAAAAGCAUAAAAAAAGACACUAGAAGAAGACAGGAUGGAUAGAUGGACAAGAUAGAAGACAAUAACAAAUAGAACAAAAUGUUGUGAAAUUAUAUUCUACAAUUA